UACGUAGGUGGCAAGCGUUGUCCGGAUUUAUUGGGCGUAAAGGGCGCGCAGGCGGUUCGUUAAGUCCGAGGUGAAAUCUCCUGGCUCAACUGGGAGGGGUCUUCGGAUACUGGCGGGCUUGAGGUGAGCAGAGGUGAGCGGAAUUCUGGGUGUAGUGGUGAAAUGCGUAGAUAUCCAGAGGAACACCAGUGGCGAAGGCGGCUCACUGGGCUCCACCUGACGCUGAGGCGCGAAAGCGUGGGGAGCGAACCGGAUUAGAACCUACGGUAGU
rnacentral:rRNA from 1 species